CUUAAUAUGUCAUAAUUAUGGAAUACUUUUGCAGAAACAGGUUGCGUUUUGUUUUGCACUCCCAGGAAAAUGUGGUCAAGGGAAGACAGCUGAAAACAAUGUGUCUGGGAGUGUUGAUGAGAAACAGGAUGCCCCUCUAUGGCCACCAUGCAAACCGCCCCCGGCAGCAAAUUACGCAAGGGCCCCGCCUCCCCCGCACUUUAAAGUAAGCGUUUACAGCGUGAACGUCCGGUAAAGUGAAAACACCCACAAUGAGAGUGAACUGUGGGAACAGAAAUCAGGUGAGCUCAGUAAAUAAGUUCAUGUCAAUGUUAAUUCAGAAAACUCUUCUCCCAAUUGAAUGCAAUUACUAUGGAAGCCCAUUUCCGCCAGGAAAAAAAAGAAAAGACAGAUAAAACUUAGCCUUGAUAAUAAAAAUAUCCUCAAAGUAAGUCGAAAUUAUGAGAUAAAAAGUCAGAAUUAUGAGAUAAAAAAUUCGAAAGGAUGCACACUCGUCUCAGGGUGUACAUAGAGAUCAAUGUUAUUGGAGCAGCACAGAGGAAGGCUUGUUUUGAUGAAAAUGAGGUUGUAGUUCGUUGUGUGCUUUACUAUUGGAAAGAAGCAUCAGCUGUGUUUUAAAAAUGUCUCGAUUAUGAAUUAUUGAUGCGGGAAGUGCAAAUCUGUGAAUAUAUUGCCAACUGCCAUUGAGGUGGAUGCACACUUUUUAUCUCAUAAUUUCGACUUAUUAUCUCAUAAUUAUGAUUUUUAUGUCUUUUAUCUCAUAAUUUCGACUUACUUUGAGGAUAUUUUUAUUAUCAAGGCUAAGUUUUUAAGUCUUUUUUUUUCCUGGCAGAAAUGGUCUUCCAUAAAUGACACCUCUGGAUAUUCCACAGGGCAGGAUAUUAAAGUUAAGAUUGCACCCUCAGUUAUAUUGUACCCCUACUUUACAAAAACAAAAUUUCUUUGUAUUUUUAUAUAAAAAUUCAAUACAUUUUCCCUUCUGUAAUACAAAAUGUGCCGCGUGCUUACAUGCAUGAACAAACUGAUUUCAACCAAUAAUAUCAUGACUGUGACGGUCCCCUGAGUGGUUCUAAUGUUUCCUCUUUCCCUUUUUAAAGCAGCAGGUACUUGAGAGUUGAACCAAUCGGCAUAGCCGGAAGCACCUUGGCCCAGUGUUUACCGGCUAUAAAAGCCUCGCCUCUCUGGCUGACUCUCUCUUUCUCGCUAUCUUGCUAUCAUCUCUGGUGUUUGGUUUUGUUGCGUUUCAACAUCCAACAUUUACUUUUCAUUAUACAUCACACUCAUGCAUACACACACUUUCACUACUGAUGUUACUGACAAACCACACCUCAUCUUCUACUUAGUUCUUUUUCUGGUUGCAUUUAUGUUGUUAUGUUAAUAAAUUACUUCUAAUUUGUCGUUCAACUGCGUCUCUUUGUUUUUGUCAUGGUUCCAGAGCCGGGUCGUGGCAAUGACAUUCACCUUUCAAUUAUCUUCAACUUUUAGUGACACAGAGUGAAGAUUCAUUCAUUGGUUAGCUAGCAACUACAUGGCUACUAAAGGAGCGUGUUUCUGGGGGCUGGACAUCACUGAUUACUGAACAAAAACACAACUAUAUCAGUUUAGACUUUACUUACAGUUAUGAGUUCCCACGCAGAUCAUUAUUUUUAGGACUCUUCUUGUCCAAAUUCCAUUUUUAUUGCACUGAUUGGUUUGUUUUUCCAGUUCCCUUUUGAGGGAAAAUUUUAUUGCUGCCAGGAUUAUGUUAAAAUAGCCUUGCUUUCUGCGUCAGUUUAUUUCUGAGUCCUAGGUUCAGUUUAGUCACUCCUCGUGUCUUGAUGAAAGAUUUGUCACUGCAAACAGAGCUCAAAGAAAUACUAUACUCUCAGCCCUAAAUACAGUCUGAGAAAACCAAACUCCAGCUGACAAAAAGAACUGAAAUCAGACCAAAAGCUGACAGAC
rnacentral:lncRNA from 15 species